rnacentral:rRNA from 1 species
UACGAACUGUGCGAACGUUAUUCGGAAUCACUGGGCUUAAAGGGUGCGUAGGCGGGCAGGUAAGUCAGUGGUGAAAUCUCCGAGCUUAACUCGGAAACUGCCGUUGAUACUAUUUGUCUUGAAUAUUGUGGAGGUAAGCGGAAUAUGUCAUGUAGCGGUGAAAUGAUUAGAUAUGACAUAGAACACCAAUUGCGAAGGCAGCUUACUACACAAUGAUUGACGCUGAGGCACGAAAGCGUGGGGAUCAAACAGG